AUUGAACGCUGGCGGCAGGCCUAACACAUGCAAGUCGAGCGGAGCGGCGGACGGGUGAGUAAUGCCUAGGAAUCUGCCUGGUAGCGGGGGAUAACGACCGGCAAGGGGCGCUAAUACCGCAUACUAUCAGACGAGCCUAGGUCGGAUUAGCUAGUUGGUGGGGUAAAGGCCUACCAAGGCGACGAUCCGUAGCUGGUCUGAGAGGAUGAUCAGCCACACUGGAACUGAGACACGGUCCAGACUCCUACGGGAGGCAGCAGUGGGGAAUAUUGGACAAUGGGCGAAAGCCUGAUCCAGCCAUGCCGCGUGUGUGAAGAAGGUCUUCGGGUUGUAAAGCACUUUAAGUUGGGAGGCGUUACCAGCAGAAUAAGCACCGGCUACCUACUUGCCAGCAGCCGCGGUAAUUC
rnacentral:rRNA from 1 species